rnacentral:lncRNA from 10 species
UGGGAUUUCACCACGUUGGCCAGGCUGGUCUUGAACUGGCCUCAAGUGAUCUGCCUGCCCCGGCCUCCCAAAGUGUUGGGAUUACAGGAGUGAGCCACCUUAUCUGGCUGAAGCUGUCCUCUUGAGACAGGAAAAUAGGGUCUGCAGGCAGGAAGCAUGAGGCUGAUUCACACUUUGACUAUAACAGGAAAUAUCCUCUCCAUAGGGCUAUACACCGACUUUGUAACUUUACUUCAUCCUCUUCAUUUACAUAGGACAUACCCCAAGUAGAGGGUAUUUAAACACAAAAACUCUGUAACGGGGCCCUUGAGCCCCUAUGCUCGGGCCGGCUCCUACCCUGUGGAGUGCACUUUCAUUUUCAAUAGAUCCCUUCAUCUCUUCCUUGCUUUGUUUGUGCGUGUUGUCCAAUUCUUUGUUCAAGACACCAAGAACCUGGACGCGCUCCACCGUUAACAUAUUUUGGCAAGCCAGCCAGGAGAAAGAGCGUCGAAAGUGGCUUCCAGCAGAGGACACUUGGGAGGGACACAGCCACACCCAGGACCCAAGGCCCGGGUGAGAUCCGGAGGCUGUAGGAACGCUAAGGGGCGGUGCUGGUGGUCCAAGGACGUCCCCCGCAGAGUGGACCAGGAAGAACGUGUCAGAGGAUCUCUGCGCCGCAGCAUCUGGGUUGCAUCCUGUGAGAGACGCCGCGGGAGCCCAGCAGCACGGCGUUUUCUGAGUGUGGCCCCAUGGGCAGCAGCAGUGAGGCCUGCAGGGCGUGAGGGCCUCCCCUGCUGCUCCCCUGCCCUGUCACUCACCACAUCCCGCAUGUGGGGCCUCCCUGCUGGUGAUGAAACCUACCACACUUGGGCCACUGGUCAUGAUUCCUGCAAUAACCAGCUCCCUGAUAAUUAAGAUCUGUUGGCCAGGCGCGGUGACUUACACCUGUGAUCCCAGCACUUUGGGAGGCCGAGGUGGGUGGGUCACGAGGUCAGGAGUUCAAGACU